CAAGUGAAGAACAUUUUAAUCCUAGAGCUUAAGAAAGGGGAGGCCCAAUAACCAGAUGCUGGAAAUCUAUUGAGGUUUUUUUUAAAUUCCAGUAUCCAGACAAUUGGCAUGAAAAUAAAGGAGCCUAGAAAAAAUGUUGAAAAUGAAAACAAUAAAAGUGACAACUAAACAUAUUAUUUUGUAUUUGCAAAGCACUUCCACAAAUGGCCACAAAUGUCAUCUCUUUAAAUUUUAUUCCUGAGUUGAGUAGGAAAUAAACCAUUUGGAGAUUCAAGGUUUAGCUUAAGAUAUGGGUGUUUCUUGAACCUGGGAGGUGGAGGUUUCAGUGAGCUGAGAUCAUGCCACUGCACUCCAGCCUAGAUGACAGAGCGAGAGUUUGUCUCAAAAAAAAAAAAAAAAAAAAAAAAAGAUAUGGAUGUUGUCAAUACAAUCGGGGGAAAGGAAUACUUUGAACUACUUUGUUGGAAGGAGUUUGAAAUCGUUGAGGACUCAGCAGCAUGAAGUAGAGAAAUUCACAAUUGGUAGAAAGGACUAUUGUCCUUCAACCUUCAUUAAGGUUAACUAUUCAACCUUCAUUAAAAACAGAAAGUGACAAUUUCACAGCAAAUUCUAGAACUUUAGAUCAAAAGUCAACUCAAUAUGGGGGA
rnacentral:lncRNA from 10 species